GAAUGAACCGGGCAAAGCACCAUGGUCUCUAGUAUACCAGUACCGUUGAGAUCUAGUUCUUUCUUAAACCAAGAACAUGUACUGCAUCCUUAACUAUCUAUUUGAUACAACACUGUUCCAUCAGCUGGAACACAUAUGCAGCUAACCAUACCACUGUCAAGAUUUAUUCAAUUGUAUGAGGUAUCGCCGAUCGAGCCAUUCAGUAAUUAAUCCCUUUCCUCUGCCUCCCCGUGGCGUCGUCGUCCUGCUCCAAAGCUGCUCCUCCUCACGACGCCUC
rnacentral:lncRNA from 1 species